rnacentral:rRNA from 1 species
CGUGGGCAAUCUGCCCUCAAGUUGUGGGAUAACCUCGCGAAAGCGGGGCUAAUACCCCUGUGGAUCCCUUGAUCUCUGGAUCUUGGGAUGGAAGGCGCUUUCCUUUCGGGGAAGGUGUCGCUCGAGGAGGAGCCCGCGUCCCAUUAGCUUGUUGGUAAGGUAACGGCUUACCAAGGCUGCGAUGGGUAGCUGGUCUGAGAGGAUGACCAGUCACACUGGAACUGAAACACGGUCCAG